UCCGUAGGCGGAUUGAUAAGUCAGAGGUGAAAUCCCACAGCUUAACUGUGGAACUGCCUUUGAAACUGUUAGUCUUGAGUUAUAUGGAAGUAGAUAGAAUGUGUAGUGUAGCGGUGAAAUGCAUAGAGAUUACACAGAAUACCAAUUGCGAAGGCAGUCUACUACGUAUAUACUGACGCUAAUGGACGAAAGCGUGGGGAGCGAACAGGAUUAGAUACCCUGGUAGUCC
rnacentral:rRNA from 1 species